rnacentral:lncRNA from 1 species
CACUGCGGGUCCCGGUGCUCACGGCCGAGCUGUGCCGCCCUGCGGCCUGCACGGCUCCUGCUGCAGGAGCCUCACGGACAGAAAGCCUGGGCCUGCAAAAAGUAAUAAGCUAUUAAUCUCUGCUUAUUGCCUCUUUUACAUGCCUUGACUGUCUUGGGCUCUGCUCUGGAACCCCCGUACAUAGGUGUUUGUUCUUAAUUUUUGGGGGGAAUAUUUCCCUGUCCUGUGUGCCUGUUGAGCAUGCUGACCAGCCAGCUGUUUUGGGGGAAAGAUCAGCAUAAACUCCCUUGCUGCCCGUGGAUCUGCUGGGGGAGGUGGGAGUGUGGCACAGCUGCACUGGGUGAGCAGUCACAGCUCCUGGGGACCUGCUGGUGUAAGUGAUGACUAAAUUUUUUCCCCAUCAGAGCGACAGUGUUGAUUUCUUGCUCUUCAAGCCAGAUCAUGUCUGAUGCACCAGCAGGGAAGUGCUGCUGUGUCCCAUGCCCUGGCAGAGCCUGGUGCUGACUGUUCCCUUUGGCUUUACCCACAGGGCACUGUGAAGGCAGACAGGGGGUUGAGCCUCUGGGAGACCUGAAGUGUGAAGGCUGCAGCUGCCAGUGAUGGUGUGGUGAGAGCAGCUGUCUGUUUUGCUCCACUAUGCUUGCACUCUAGCAAAUAAUGGGCACUGUGAAGGCAGAGACAGGGGGUUGAGCCUCUGGGAGACCUGAAGUGUGAAGGCUGCAGCUGACAGUGAUGGUGUGGUGAGGGCAGUUGUCUGUUUUGCUCUACCAUGUAUGCCCUCUGACAGUGAAGAAUGGCUGAGAUUUGUCAGAAGUUGUCCUGGGCUCUGCUGGGGUUUCAGUGUUUUGCUAAUGAAGACGGAUGCUUCUGCUGCUCCUGUGCUGCUGCCUCAGAUCCUUGUCCAAGCCACAGCAUUCAUGUCACCCUGUGACAGCUCUGGCCUUUCCUCAGAGCUGGCAGGAGUGAUGAGUUGGUGUCCUGCCAACUUAGAUGGAGGGUGUCACAUUUUUUAUCCCCUGGGUAUGAGGCAUGUAACUGGAAUGGAUUCUGGAACUUGCUGCAUGUUUAAUGCAGUUUGGAUGCUUUUGUCUGCAGGGGCUGCAUUCCCUGGCUAACAGCUCAUGUUAUCCUGCCCCUGUCAUUACAAGCAAGGAAGGCUCUCCUUGGAGCAAUGACAAGUACAGGAGGGCCUUGUGUGUAAGGAGAGGAGUCAGGGCUUGGCUCUCCCCUGCCAUCCAGAAAGCUUUAGUGGUUCAUCUCUGACAGCUUGUGAAGUGGGGAAGGGGUAUCUGGGAUGCUGCGGCACAGUGUGGUUUUGUACUGUAUAGAGUCUGUUUAAUAAAAUCUGAGUACUGGGUGAACUCA